CCUACGGGAGGCGGCAGUGGGGAAGUAUUGGACAAUGGGCGCAAGCCUGAUCCAGCAAUGCCGCGUGAGUGAUGAAGGCCUUAGGGUUGUAAAGCUCUUUUACCCGUGAUGAUAAUGGCAGUAGCGGGAGAAUAAGCCCCGGCUAACUCCGUGCCAGCAGCCGCGGUAAUACGGAGGGGGCUAGCGUUGUUCGGAAUUACUGGGCGUAAAGCGCACGUAGGCGGCUUUGUAAGUUAGAGGUGAAAGCCUGGAGCUCAACUCCAGAACUGCCUUUAAGACUGCAUCGCUUGAAUCCAGGAGAGGUGAGUGGAAUUCCGAGUGUAGAGGUGAAAUUCGUAGAUAUUCGGAAGAACACCAGUGGCGAAGGCGGCUCAACUGGACCGGUAUUGACGCUGAGGUGCGAAAGCGUGGGGAGCAAACAGGAUUAGAUAACCCUGGUAGUCCACGCCGUAAACGAUGAUAACCUAGGNUGUCGGGACGAUAGUGUUGGUUGGCGCGNGCUACGACUAUUAAGUUAUUCCGUCCGUGGGAGGUACGGUCGCGAAGAAGUUAAAACGUUAAAAGGUAAAGUUAGUACGGUUCGUUGAGAGUUAGACCGAACGGACGACGACGAGGGAGGAGG
rnacentral:rRNA from 1 species